GUUUGCUUCUGGUUCGAGCAGGGUUUGCUUCUGGUUAUGGACUGUGCUUUCUUCUUCUGGUUCCGUCGGCUAGCCAUGUCUAUAGCCAUGUCUCUAUUAAAGCUAGCGCCGUGGCUGGUUGAAUAAGAAGAAGAACCUGCUGCUGGAGGAGUUGCUGAAAUUGCAUUAGAGUAAUAGUUCAACUCAUGAGACGCGAUCAGCUGGGUUUCAAAGCCAGAAGCGAGCAGGAAAGAGUUUUUGGAAAUCUCGAAAGGGAUCAACGAAUUGUUCCUGAAAGUCCUUGCACUAUCAGUUAGAGGCCAACACAUUUUAGUGGUUAUUGGCGGUGGCGGUGUAAUGACUUUGUUGGCAAUCUCGGGUUCAUGUUUUUAAGUCUACUAAAUUAUGCUUUCUAUUAUCAAGUGUUUUUGGGUCUAUUGUAAUAACUUGAUAACUUUGUU
rnacentral:lncRNA from 1 species